AGUGAACGCUGGCGGUAGGCCUAACACAUGCAAGUCGAACGGCAGCACAGUAAUCUUUUGCUCUUACGGUUGGCGAGUGGCGGAUGGGUCACGCAUACAUCGCCUUCUUCUUUUUCUUGGGUGAUUUCGUAGGUCCACUUAUGCUACUACCUCAUACGUUCUACCGCUGAAAUCAUCAGUUCUUCUGACCUUUCUUGUUUCUUUUAGCCUAUGUCGGAUUAGCUAGUUUGCUUGGUAAAGUCACACAAAGGCAACGCUCCGUAGCUGGUCUGAGAGGAUGAUCAGCCACACUGGAACUGAGACACGGUCCAGACUCCUACGGGAGGCAGCAGUGGGGAAUAUUGGACAAUGGGCGAAAGCCUGAUCCAGCAAUACCGCGUGGGUGAAGAAGGCCUUCGGGUUGUAAAGCCCUUUUGUUGGGAAAGAAAAGAAGCAGGUUAAUACCCGGAUGUUCUGACGGUACCCAAAGAAAAAGCACCGGCUAACUUCGUG
rnacentral:rRNA from 1 species